CGGGCUGACCUGCGGAAAGACCAAACGGGCUGGUUUCGAUCUGGCCCGGACCUCAUUCGGGACGAAGAGGUCGUGGGUUCAAAUCCCGCCACCCCGAC
rnacentral:tRNA from 1 species